AACGAACGCUGGCGGCAUGCCUAACACAUGCAAGUCGAACGAGACCUUCGGGUCUAGUGGCGCACGUGUGCGUAGCGCGUCGAAACAUACCCUUAGGUUCGGCAUAACUCCCCGACGGGGGUGCUAAUACCGAAUGAUGUCUUCAGACCAAAGAUUUAUCGCCUUUGGAUGGGUCCGAGUGGGAUUAGCUAGUUGGUAGGGUAAAAGACUAUCAAGGCGUCGAUCCAUAACUGGUCUGAGAGGAUGAGCAGCAACACUGGGACUGAGACCCGGCCCAGACUCCUACGGGAGGCAGGAGUGGGGAAUAUUGGACAAUGGGCGAAAGCCUGAUGGAGCAAUGCCGCGAGAGUGAUGAAGUCGUUAGGGUUGGAAAGCGCUUUUACCCGGGAUGAUAAUGACAGUACCGGGAGAAUAAGCUCCGGCUAACUACGUG
rnacentral:rRNA from 1 species